rnacentral:rRNA from 1 species
UACGUAGGGUGCGAGCGUUAAUCGGAAUUACUGGGCGUAAAGCGUGCGCAGGCGGCUUUGCAAGACAGAUGUGAAAUCCCCGGGCUCAACCUGGGAACUGCAUUUGUGACUGCAAGGCUAGAGUACGGCAGAGGGGGAUGGAGUUCCGCGUGUAGCAGUGAAAUGCGUAGAUAUGCGGAGGAACACCAAUGGCGAAGGCAAUCCCCUGGGCCUGUACUGACGCUCAUGCACGAAAGCGUGGGGAGCAAACAGG